rnacentral:rRNA from 1 species
GAUGAACGCUGGCGGCGUGCUUAACACAUGCAAGUCGAACGGAAAGGCCCAAGCUUGCUUGGGUACUCGAGUGGCGAACGGGUGAGUAACACGUGGGUGAUCUGCCCCGCACUUCGGGAUAAGCCUGGGAAACUGGGUCUAAUACCGGAUAGGACCACUUCUUGGAGGUUGUGGUGGAAAGUUUUUUCGGUGUGGGAUGAGCUCGCGGCCUAUCAGCUUGUUGGUGGGGUAAUGGCCUACCAAGGCGUCGACGGGUAGCCGGCCUGAGAGGGUGUACGGCCACAUUGGGACUGAGAUACGGCCCAGACUCCUACGGGAGGCAGCAGUGGGGAAUAUUGCACAAUGGGCGGAAGCCUGAUGCAGCAACGCCGCGUGGGGGAUGACGGCCUUCGGGUUGUAAACUGCUUUCGCUAGGGACGAAGCGCGAGUGACGGUACCUAGAGAAGAAGCACCGGCUAACUACGUG